rnacentral:pre_miRNA from 1 species
AGUGCACUGGUGGGGUCCCUCGGCCUGGCCUGUGCCCUCUCGCAAUCUGGGACCCUUCAGGGGAUGUUGGAGAGCCGGUUUCGGCCCGAUCGCCACAGACCAGGCCGAGGGACCCCACCAGUGCACG